rnacentral:rRNA from 1 species
GGGAAUAUUGCGCAAUGGGCGAAAGCCUGACGCAGCGACGCCGCGUGGGGGAGGAAGGCCCCAGGGUUGUAAACCCCUGUCAGGUGGGACGAACCCCGGUACGUCGAACAGGCGUACCGACUGACGGUACCACCAGAGGAAGCUCCGGCUAACUCCGUGCCAGCAGCCGCGGUAAUACGUAGGGGGCAAGCGUUAUCCGGAAUCAUUGGGCGUAAAGAGCUCGUAGGCGGUUCAGCAAGUCGGCUGUGAAAGUCCAAGGCUCAACCUUGGAAAUGCAGUCGAUACUGCUGUGACUAGAGUCUGGUAGAGGAGAAUGGAAUUCCCGGUGUAGCGGUGGAAUGCGCAGAUAUCGGGAGGAACACCAGUAGCGAAGGCGGUUCUCUGGGCCUCGACUGACGCUGAGGAGCGAAAGCAUGGGUAGCAAA